rnacentral:misc_RNA from 1 species
AACGCACCUUGCGCCCUUUGGUAUUCCGAAGGGCAUGCCUGUUUGAGUAUCAUUAAUACCUCACUCUUGAGUUUCUAGUAAAGUCAAGAUGUGGAUUUUGGAGGUUUUGCAGGCCAUCUUUGGUCAGCUCCUCUUAAAUGCAUUAGCGGAACUCUAUGCAGUACCAGCCUCAGUUUGAUAAUCCUAUCUAUGCUGUCGCUGAUGACUGUGAUGUUUGGCUUAUAAUUGUCUUUGGACUGUCGCUUUUGCGGCACAACCUUUAAGCUUGAUCUCAAAUCAGGUAGGACUACCCGCUGAACUUAA